ensembl:snRNA U1 U1 spliceosomal RNA
AUACUUACCUGGCAGGGGAGAUACCAGGAUCACAAAGGUGGUUUUCCCAGGGUGAGGCUCAUCCAUUGCACUCCAGAUGGACUGACCCACGCAAUUUCUCCAAAUGGGAGAAACUCGAUUGCAUAAUUUUCAGUAGUGGGGGACUGCAUUUGUGCUUUUCCCCU